rnacentral:rRNA from 1 species
ACAGAGGUCCCGAGCGUUGUUCGGAUUCACUGGGCGUAAAGGGUGCGUAGGUGGCAUGUUAAGUUUGAUGUGAAAGCUCAGGGCUUAACCCUGAAAUGGCAUUGAAUACUAGCGUGCUGGAGGAUUGGAGGGGGGACUGGAAUUCUUGGUGUAGCAGUGAAAUGCGUAGAUAUCAAGAGGAACACCAGUGGCGAAGGCGAGUCCCUGGACAAUACCUGACACUGAGGCACGAAAGCCGGGGGAGCAAACAGGA